GAGGGAAACAAUAAGCACGCUAGCCAUUAUUCUUAAUAAUAUUGGUUAUAUUGAUAGAAUCUGGGCAAAGGUGACCCAAUCGACGUACUCACUCGU
rnacentral:ribozyme from 1 species